AUGCGUUUUUCUUCCUUAGUCAUGGACACAGCAGGUCUGACAGCCAAUGAUUAUCCCACUUCAUGACAUCAUUUCCUGUGUCUGCUUCCAUCCAUGAUCCAAUCCAUCAGAGUUACCAUUCAGAUCUAUUUAAGAACAUCUGAACUGACCAUUAUGUCACUUUCACGUGUAGGUGCUGUUUGCUAAUCCCCCCGUUCUCUGUUUCUCACAGUCAUCAUGUUUAUCUCAGCCCACCGCAGAUGAGCUGCACAUCCAUCUUCAAACACUUCAGCUCUGAGAGCAUCACGGAUGAGGAUGGGAGGAGAUCUUCAGCCAUGCGGCCCCCGCUCACGGAGUCUCAGAUGAGAUAAUCUGGCCAGAGGGUGAUGAAGCUUUACCUCCUGAAGCUCAAGAUCUCAUCUCCAAACUACUGAGGCAAAACCCUCUGGAGCAUCUGGGGACAGGGAGUGUGUUUGAAGUGAAACAACAGCACUUCUUCAGUGAUCUGGACUGGAACAGUCUCCUGAGGCAAAAAGCUGUGUUCAUCCCUCAGCUGGAGUCAGAAGAUGACACUAGCUAGUGCUACAUUGACAAUCGGUGUCAUCGUGUGGACACAAAUGAUGAUGAUCAUCUGGAGAUACUCUAUUCACCAUGUCCAGCAAAGAGGAUGGUGGGCAGAAAGCCCCCUGGAUUUAAAAAAGUUUUUGUUGUUGUUGGUUUUAUGCCCUACUGUGUGCUUGAUGACAAGUCAAGUGUCCAUUUUGUUUACAUGUACCCUCUAAUAACUACAUCACAUUUUACCCACUGUGCUUUUAUCAAAGAAAGGAAAACAUUGUAAUUAUGUGAAUGCAUUGAAUUCAUCUCUGUUUUUUUGCUAAAGUCGCAAGCCACCGGAGGCUAUGAAAGUGAGCACUAACUGCCUUCUCACAUACGUGAGGGGGUUGGUGAUGAUGUUUGGGCUAUUUGUUGAGGUGAAGUCAAGUGUCAGAAUGCCUGAGGUGGUUAUCCAUCAAUGUCCGGCAUCCACACCAUACACGCGCUAGUGAAAUGUAAUCUCACACACAUCGUCCAGAGCAAAUUCACCUGCUACCUCUCACCUCUGACACGAGCACAGUUCUUCACAAAUUAAAACCUUAGAGCACACACCCACCCACCUAUACACACUACUUAAAUCUACCCACUCUAAUAACAACAACCACUAUGUCCAACCACUGCCCUUUCAACACUUCUGUGUGUGUGUGUCGGAGGUGAAUGACAGUACAGAUGGCUCACUUUAUUGUAAAAUUUUUAACCCUUUCAUGCAUGGCAUCCACUAUAGUGGACAGCUAUUCAAAAAGCCAUUUCUUCAACCUCUACUGGCUAGGAGGGAGCAGGAUAAAACAGCCUGGUUAUUUCUUUGGGUUGAGGCUAGUGCUUGACAAUAUGUGCUACCUUGCCAGAUUUUGCUACCUCCCAUACAAAACAUAUACCCAAACACUAAACCCGACCCUCAAUUACAACAGCACAAAGGUCUACAAAGCAAAAGGGGGUCACACACCGAACGAGAAGUGCCAGGUCGAGUCGCGUCUAGGACAACUCGGAGGUAUCGUACACAGGAAGUGCACAUUUAAUAGUGCAAACUUAGUCAGAUAGCAUUUACUUCAAAGUGCAAAAAUUAGGUUAGCAGCCAAUGUUAAUCGUUAAUGAUUUGGGACAAAUAUGAUGCUAUUUAAUGUUAAACUAUGUGAGUGGCGCUGUGGCGCGACAGGGCUUUGAGCAAGUUUCUGAAUCAAAGCUCGGCGCAGCUGACAGGCGCCACCUUUCGACGCCGGUGUGCGUAUACUCAUAGAAAACAAUGUGUUUGAUUUUUUUUUAACGUCACGCCGCUGAGCUGCGCUUCCAGUGUGCGACCUCCUUAAAAGGUAGCAGAAACUGACACAAUAUUUUGUUGAUAUCAAUGAGAUAUUGAUAUCAACCGAAUGCUUUCGACACUAUACGUUCAUCAAAUACUUUCUCUUUAAAGGAAAACACCACCGUUCAAUAUUUUAUGUUCUUACUUCAACUUAGAUGAAUUAAUACAUACUUAUCUUUUUCAAUGAGUGCACUUAAUCUUUGUACAGCGUGUUGUGAAUGUGUUAGCAUUUAGCCUAGCCCCAUUCAUUCCUUAGGAUCCAAACAGGGAUGAAUUUAGAAGCCACCAAACACUUCCAUGUUUUCC